CCGACUACCGGCGCCGUGUCCCGUCCCUUCUGUGGCUUAUGCUGCUGUUGCCUUUCAAGUGCUUGCGUGCCGGUACCCGACCUACGGGAAGUGGUGCUUCGUACAUGGUUGCCUCACGGUGGACACCUUUGGGUGAUCUGCUGUGGCCUAAUGGCGGUUGCGGCGUUUCCUCGUGGUGCUAACACGCUUGCGUGCAYGACACUAUCAAGGAAACCUUGCUGCCGCUGUUGGUCUCGGAUGUCGCUCACGAUAAAGUCUCCUGGCCCCUUUGGUUGCCUUGACCCGACCCUAAAACAGCUCUCCGAAUUUGAGAACACCCGGAACAGGUGUUGCCUCUACCUCUCCACAGUUACGUGGUAGGAUAUGCAACAUUCUGCGCCGAUCCUCAAUCAAGUAGGAUGAGCUUAGCUACCUCAAUCACGACAACCAGCUUGGUUGUUGCCUCAGCCUGGCUGCAUCUGUGGACGGGCGGGCAAAGACCGACGCYGGACGUCAAGAGGACGUGCUACCUGGUUGAUCCUGCCAGUAGUC
rnacentral:misc_RNA from 1 species